rnacentral:rRNA from 1 species
CCUACGGGUGGCAGCAGUGAGGAAUAUUGGUCAAUGGACGAGAGUCUGAACCAGCCAAGUAGCGUGAAGGAUGACUGCCCUAUGGGUUGUAAACUUCUUUUAUAUGGGAAUAAAAUGUUCCACGUGUGGGAUUUUGUAUGUACCAUAUCAAUAAGGAUCGGCUAACUCCGUGCCAGCAGCCGCGGUAAUACGGAGGAUCCGAGCGUUAUCCGGAUUUAUUGGGUUUAAAGGGAGCGUAGGUGGAUUGUUAAGUCAGUUGUGAAAGUUUGCGGCUCAACCGUAAAAUUGCAGUGGAAACUGGCAGUCUUGAGUACAGUAGAGGUGGGCGGAAUUCGUGGUGUAGCGGUGAAAUGCUUAGAUAUCACGAAGAACUCCGGUUGCGAAGGCAGUUCACUGGACUGCAACUGACACUGAGGCUCGAAAGUGUGGGUAUCAAACAGGAUUAGAUACCCGUGUAGUC